GGAAGCGUGGCCGAGUGGUUUAAGGCAACGGUCUUGAAAACCGUCGAUGGGCAACUAUCCUAGAGUUCCCACCA
rnacentral:tRNA from 1 species